UACUGGAUUGGAAAGAACAGGAUUGAGACCUCCACCCUAAGGUCUUUAAAUUGACCGGUUCCUCAAAAGGCCUGGACCUGUUGAAAGGGCAAUUUAUUCACUAAUAAUUUCCAAUCCGCAUCCCUUUGGAAGGAUAUAUUAAAAGAAUCUCCUUCCCCUAAAAGAGCUAAUUAGCCCCUCAAGCUGUGAUUUAAGUGGGAGCAAUUAUUUGGGUUCAACUACCCCUACUAGAGGCAAUGAACAGGAUUCGAUUGACCUUAGAUUUCAGUAAGUAAUGUGUAUA